UACGGAGGAUGCGAGCGUUAUCCGGAUUUAUUGGGUUUAAAGGGUGCGUAGGCGGCUUUUUAAGUCAGCGGUGAAAUUUUGCAGCUUAACUGUAACAGUGCCGUUGAUACUGGGGAGCUAGGAUUUGGUUGCUGUGGGUGGAAUGUGUGGUGUAGCGGUGAAAUGCUUAGAGAUCACACAGAAUAUCGAUUGCGAAGGCAGCUUACUAAACUACUACUGACGCUCAGGCACGAAGGCGUGGGGAUCAAACAGGAUUAGAUACCCCU
rnacentral:rRNA from 1 species